GACGAACGCUGGCGGCAGGCCUAACACAUGCAAGUCGAGCGAAACCUUCGGGUCUAUCGGCGUACGAGGGAGUAACGCGUGGGAACGUUCCCUUUUCUGCGGAAUAGCCUCGGGAAAGUGAGCGUAAUACCGCAUACGCCCUUUUGGGGGAAGAUUUAUCGGAAAAGGAUCGGCCCUCGUUGGAUUAGGUAGUGGGGUGGGUAAUGGCCUACCAAGCCUACGAUCCGUAGCUGGUUUGAGAGGAUGAUCAGCCACACUGGGACUGAGACACGGCCCAGACUCCUACGGGAGGCAGCAGUGGGGAAUCUUAGACAAUGGGGGCAACGAUGAUCUAGCCAUGCCGCGAGAGUGAUGAAGGCAUUAGGGUUGUAAAGCUCUUUUAGCUGGGAAGAUAAUGACGGUACCAGAAGAAGAAGCCCCGGCUAACUACGUG
rnacentral:rRNA from 1 species